UCAAAUAUCCACCGUUUCUUACGGUGAAGAAAAACCGGCAGUAUUAGGUCAUGACGAAUCUGCUUAUGCUAAAAACCGUCGUGCAGUAUUAGCAUACUAAUUUUGCUGGAACGUAUAAAAACCGGGUAUAAGCCCGGUUUUU
rnacentral:other from 1 species